GAGUUUGAUCAUGGCUCAGAUUGAACGCUGGCGGCAGGCCUAACACAUGCAAGUCGAGCGGAUGACGGGAGCUUGCUCCUUGAUUCAGCGGCGGACGGGUGAGUAAUGCCUAGGAAUCUGCCUGGUAGUGGGGGACAACGUUUCGAAAGGAACGCUAAUACCGCAUACGUCCUACGGGAGAAAGCAGGGGACCUUCGGGCCUUGCGCUAUCAGAUGAGCCUAGGUCGGAUUAGCUAGUUGGUGGGGUAAUGGCUCACCAAGGCGACGAUCCGUAACUGGUCUGAGAGGAUGAUCAGUCACACUGGAACUGAGACACGGUCCAGACUCCUACGGGAGGCAGCAGUGGGGAAUAUUGGACAAUGGGCGAAAGCCUGAUCCAGCCAUGCCGCGUGUGUGAAGAAGGUCUUCGGAUUGUAAAGCACUUUAAGUUGGGAGGAAGGGCAGUAAGUUAAUACCUUGCUGUUUUGACGUUACCGACAGAAUAAGCACCGGCUAACUCUGUGCCAGCCGCCG
rnacentral:rRNA from 9 species